CACUGGGAAAGGCCACGCUGCCUAUGGCCAAGGUCAAACUUCCUCCGUGCCAGAACUCGGGCCCGGAGGACACCUCCCCUGUCGCUGCCCCCUCCAACCCAGGGGAUAUUUCUGAACGGGUUACUCGGAUGCCCCGCCUGCCCUAUGGCACAGGCACCCAAGGCAAAAAUGGAGGAUUACAGUAGAACUGAGGGCCCUGCCCGGAACCGGCCCUCCUGCCCGCCAAGGCUUGAUGGGGUGUGGCAGCAAAGGGAGACGGAGGCUGGGCAGAUGGGGAUGACUUGGCGUCAGGAGCUCGGGAUCUCAGAAGGCUGGGGCCCCUGGGACCCAGGAACCAUGGGGGUGCCUGCCCCCACACUUCCGUGCCUUCAGUGCCAACGGGAAGGGGAGCUGAGCCCAGGAGGCAUGGCCUGGAUGGCAGGGCUCCCUGGCUUCCCAGCCCUGGAUCCCAGGGCUCUCUGGGCAGAGACUCCUGUUGCCGAAACUCUAUUCUAAGAUCUGCAACCAGAUUGGCCUGAGGAAUGUGGGGCGGGGGUGGAGCAGGGAGGGACUGUUCGUGGGAUUAGGGCUCCUGGGCCCACAUCUGGGACAAGGGCAUGCUGGAUGGUUGGGGAAGGGCCCGACGGGCAUUUCCCUUACUGUGGCUGGGGGCUGGAAAGCCAUCUAGCUUUGUUACUCAGCAGUCGCUUCCACCUUCCCCCUGCCCCCCAACUGCUUGUUAACAAUAAAAAUCCCAUUUGAGUUUU